UUGGAGGACACAGCCAAGAGGAGCGUGGUCUGAGCCAUACCUGGGGACACUGGCUUCUCCACUGAAGAGCUGGAAGACCUUUACAUGGUGUUUAAGCUCCCUGCUUCUGGCUUGGGAAAAACAGUCAAGGAUGGCC